rnacentral:tRNA from 1 species
AGAAGCGUAAGCUAAUUAAAGCUAUUGGGCCCAUACCCCAAAAAUGAAGGUUUCUCCCUCCGCUCCUA